rnacentral:rRNA from 1 species
UACGUAGGCAGCAAGCGUUGUUCGGAGUUACUGGGCGUAAAGGGCGCGUAGGCGGCCCUCCAAGUCGGGCGUGAAAGCCCACGGCUCAACCGUGGAAUUGCGCUCGAGACUGAAGGGCUCGAGGACGGGAGAGGAUGGUGGAAUUCCCAGUGUAGAGGUGAAAUGCGUAGAUAUCAGGAGGAACACCGGUGGUGUAGACGGCUUUCUGGACCGUAACUGACGCUGAGACACGAAAGCGUGGGUAGCAAACAGG